rnacentral:lncRNA from 1 species
ACUAACCUAAACCCUACACUUAGCUCAUUAGCCGUCUUACACAUUUGAGAUACACAUUUGAAAAGCUUGUCUUCUUCUUCUCCCUAACAAAACAAACAACAAACCCUAAAAACAUCCAUAGCCGCCACCCUACUUGAACCCUAGCCAUGGCUGCCAACGACCACGCCCCUUCCCCGUCAUCUUCUUCAGCGCGUCCAGUCCGUCCAAACAGCUAUGGACGACCAGCUCGUCACCAAACGAGCUCACUCGCCUACGAUGAGCAGCAGCCAUCAGUGCCCGGCAUCGAGCAACCAGCACGCCAGCCAAUCGUUGUCCUCAACCACCUCUAGCAACCAUGUCUGAGUUCGAGUCGUCAACAUCGUCUAGCAGCCACGGGUGAAUCUCGAUGUUGUCCGACAACCAGCUCGUCACAAACGACUCAGUGGCCAGUCGUCGUCUUCAACAGUCCAUCAUCACCAUAGCCACGACCUCCCUGAACUUCCAAAAUCAGCCCAGUCGUUAUACAAAGACGAUGACCGCUCUUUCUUCUCCGUUCCAGCUCGACAACAACCCUAUUGUCCGAAUUCCAGCUCAUCUAUGAACGAGCAACAACACCUACAAACAGCCCGUUCAACAUCCAAGGGUUUAAAUCUGAGUUCAACAUGGGCUCGUUCAGUUUUCAAAUUUUUCUUUCAAGUUAUUUCGUUCCUUUGAUCUAUUUUUCUGUUAUUGUUAUUUGUUUAAAAGUUUAGUUUGUAAUCCUGUUUUGUUCAUCACUUCUUCUUCUUCUUCAAGACCUUUUAUUUGGUAAAAGUUUUUCUUCUGUUCAUUUAAGUGUGUGUUAUAAGCUAUAUAAAUUAUUUGAGUAGUUUUCGUCGAUUAAUCAAAUUGAAAAUUGGAGAAGCGGGAUAAUAGGCCAUUGUUUUUCUCCAGUAUGUUCGCCAUUUUUUUCUUGCUUAUUCUGAUUUUUGUGAUUGAAAUGAACCUGUUGGUUGAACUAAGUUUUCUGCUUGAAUUAUUUGUGUGAAUUUGACUUACGGAUUCGUUGUAGCUGUAUAGUGAUUUGGUAAAUAAUAAUAAGUGUAGUUAUAAAUCAGAGAGGUUUAAAUACAGAUUAUUAAGAGUCAGGGAAGGGCAGUUUUUAGGGUAUUUUGGGAAUGAAAAGUGGGCAUAAUUAACUAAGUUAAUGACCUGUUAGUCAAGCCUUAAUAUGUGCCUUGAAUUAAGGAGUAAAUUAAGAAAAGCACCUGUGAGUAAGUUUUUCAAUAGUGGUAGACAGACUUUUGUUAUUUUGGGGGUCGGUUGGUUAAGUUUUUUCAAAAGGGGCAGGUAUGUCUUGGGUUAUAAAUAGAACAGAGUUUGGACAUAAUAGGGGAGCUUUUUUUUCUAUUACAGAGAGCAUUGAGAGUAGAAAAUAGAAUGAAUUUGGAGAUAAGAAAUUGAGAGCUUAAAACUGAAUUUUAGAGAGUGAACUGAAUUUUUGAGAAAAGAAUUUCAGAACUUACGAGAGAAUUUAAGGCUGAAAUUUUACAUCAAGAAGUCAGUUAAUUUGUGAGAGCUCAUGCACUGAAAGUUUGCUUGUGUUGAUUUUCUGGUAUUGUUGGGUUUUAAUCUGUUUCUCGGAUUCUUGUUACUGUUUGAUACUGGUUUAUUGCUGUUGUUGUUGGAAAUGUGUUGUUGUGUGUCCCACUGCUGCUUCUAUUGAUCUUCCUCUUCUUCUUUGCCUUUCCAAUAUCAGGUACACAACUGGUACUUCUUAUAAGCUGAGAAUUGAGGCAUGGACAUGAAAUGAAGAAUCAAGUUGUUUUGAAUUUAUUUUUUAGUAGUAUAUUAAGCAGUUAGUAGUAUAUAGAAUAGUUCACUUUCUAUGCUAAAAAACAUGUAGAUAGUUGUAAUGAAACUGAACAUCUGUAUAUGGCCUUUAAUUGGCAAAUUAUAUAUGUAUGCUUGUAGUAAAUGAUAUUCCUACUAUUUUAGUUUGCUAGUUUAAGUAGUCUGUUUCACAUAUAUGCUAGGCAUUACGCUAUAAUUACUAGAUGGUUUAAAUUAUUUCAGUCAACAAAUUGAUUAUCUAAGACUUGCAAGAAAUUGUGUAAUUAGAUAGCAUUUUCAUCUUUCUAUUUUUCAAAGUUUGAAUAUGUGUUGUACACUGUAGCUAGGCCUUCAAAAAUUAGAACAUGAUGGCCUAGGCCCUGAUUUUGUAC